rnacentral:tRNA from 1 species
GCGGGCGUGGCGGAACUGGCAGACGCGCGAGGCUUAGGACCUCGUGGCCGCAAGGUCUUGGGGGUUCGAGUCCCUCCGCCCGCA